rnacentral:rRNA from 1 species
CGAAAGAGAGAUAGUUAAGUUAAUAAUUUAGUUUUUGUUGUAAAAAGAUUUAUAAUUUUAAUUUAGUGGCGAAAUACCAGUCGAGCUUUUUGAUAUCUGUUUUUUUUAGAAAUAAGUUUAAUUUGGCUUUUAUAUAAUAUUUUAUAUAAGAUGUUGGGGCAGGAGGGGAGAGCUUUUUGUUUAAAUUUUAGUUGCUUACAGGUACGGAAAUUUAAGGUGUGUUUAACUAGAUUUAGAAGUAGUUUUGUUAGUAUUGUGUUAUAACUAAGAUUUGGGUUAUAAUAUUUUUUUGUCUUUAGGUAUUUAUAGGGAAUUAUUUUUAUUUUUAAUAAAAGUAAUUAUAAUUGAUGUAUUAGUAUAUGUAUAAGGUAAAAUUAAAUAUAUUAUAGACGGGGGAGUAAUGUGUGUUUUGUCUAGUAGAGGAAUUCGGCAAAAUUUAUUUCCGCCUGUUUAUCAAAAACAUGUCUGUAUGAGAGGUUUAUAAAGUCUGGCCUGCCCAUUGGGGAACUAAAAGGCCGCGGUAUUUUGACCGUGCGAAGGUAGCAUAAUCAUUAGUCUUUUAAUUGAAGGCUUGUAUGAAGGGUUGGACGAGAAAUUAGCUGUCUUUGGAUGAGAAAUAAAAUUUAACUUUUAAGUGAAAGGGCUUAAAUGUUCUAAAGGGACGAUAAGACCCUAUAAAGUUUGACAUUUUAUUUUUUGGUGAGUGAGUUAGAAUAAUUAAAGUUUAUUAAAGAGUUAGAUGUUUUGUUGGGGCGACAAAAAUAUAAAUAAUUUAACUGUUUUUAUGUAGUUACAAAGAUAAUUGAAUUUGUGGUCCUUAUUAAAGAGUGAAGAGUAAAUUACUUUAGGGAUAACAGCGUAAUUUUUUUUGAGAGUUCGUAUCGACAAAAAAGUUUGCGACCUCGAUGUUGAAUUAAAGAUUCUUUGUAAUGUAGCAGUUAUAAAAGAGGGUCUGUUCGACCUUUAAAUCUUUACAUGAUUUGAGUUCAGACCGGCGUGAGCCAGGUUGGUUUCUAUCUUUUAGGUUUUAUUGAAUUAUUUUAGUACGAAAGGAUUGAAUAAU